rnacentral:rRNA from 1 species
UGCAGUCGAACGAGACCUUCGGGUCUAGUGGCGCACGGGUGAGUAACGCGUGGAAACCUGCCAUUCUGUACGGAAUAACGAUUGGAAACGAUCGCUAAUACCGUAUACGCCCUGUGGGGGAAAGGUCCGCCGCAGAAUGAGGGGUCCGCGUCCGAUUAGCUUGUUGGUGGGGUAAAAGCCUACCAAGGCGAUGAUCGGUAGCUGGUCUGAGAGGAUGAUCAGCCACACUGGGACUGAGACACGGCCCAGACUCCUACGGGAGGCAGCAGUGGGGAAUAUUGGACAAUGGGGGCAACCCUGAUCCAGCAAUGCCGCGUGUGUGAAGAAGGCCUUUAGGGUUGUAAAGCACUUUCAAUGGUGAAAGAUGAUGACGGUAGCCCGUAGAAGAAGCCCCGGCUAACUUCGUGCCAGCAGCCGCGGUAAUACGAAGGGGGCGAGCGUUGUUCGGAAUUACUGGGCGUAAAGGGCGCCGCAGCGGCCAAUCCAGUCAGGUGUGAAAGCCC